ACAGCUGCUUCAGCCUAUUGAUUCAUCCAGAAUUAAUUUAGCUUAUUUGGCUGGCCAGGUGGGUGACCCUUCCUAUAUUUACCCCUCAUCUUGUUUUCUUUCUGAAGUUUCAUGCUUCAUUUAAGAAGAUGACUUCCUUAAGUGGUUUUGAUAAGCAUAUACCUGAAUCUGACUUCCAGGUAGAACUUCCAAAAACUUCUGAAGGUCAUUUUAAAGGAGAAUUUAAACUAG
rnacentral:lncRNA from 1 species